AUACGGAGGAUCCGAGCGUUAUCCGGAUUUAUUGGGUUUAAAGGGUGCGCAGGCGGCCAUUUAAGUCAGCGGUUAAAUCGUGGGGCUCAACCCCAUUCUGCCGUUGAUACUGGGUGGCUUGAUUGCGGUCGAGGUUGGCGGAAUUCGUUGUGUAGCGGUGAAAUGCAUAGAUAUGACGAAGAACACCGAUUGCGUAGGCAGCUGACCAGACCGCAAAUGACGCGCAUGCACGAAAGUGCGGGGAUCGAACAGGAUUAGAUACCCUGGUAGUCCGCACAGUAAACGAUGAAUACUUGUUUUCGGCGAUAUAAUGUCGGAGGCAAAGCGAAAGCGAUAAGUAUUCCACCUGGGGAGUACGCCGGCAACGGUGAAACUCAAAGGAGUUGACGGGG
rnacentral:rRNA from 1 species